GUAGGGACUGCUGCAGUAGCCUACAACAAGCCAUCCUCUUCCAAGGCUAAGCCGCAAGGCAAAGGCAAAGGGAAGGAGAAGAAGUCUCCCACUCCUAAGCCGCAAGGAGGAGUGAGGAAAAAGAAGGCAAAGGAGCCCAAGGGGACUUGCCACCACUGUGGAAAGGAGGGGCAUUGGAAGAGGAAUUGCAGGUUAUACCUUGCAACUCUUAAGGACAAGCCACAAGGUAUGGUUUAUGUUCUUAUCUUCAAUUCUAAUUGUUAGAUCUUCUAAAUAUUUAUAUUUGAUAUAAAGGGCUAAUCACUUGUAUAAAUGUAUAUAGGUAGAGGAGCCAAGUAGAAGAGGAACAAGCAAAGAGAAGUGUGGAGAAGGGUUCGGCCACCAUGUUUUUUUGCUAACUACUUAGGAAGUUUGUUAGGCAUUAAAGAUAGUCUUUAAACUUUCUUAUUUUGUUAAGAACUUAAUGUGGCUUCAUAUGAUGGAAGAUCACUAUUAGUGCCUAAAUAUAUAAAGGUAUUUAUAUUAGUCUCUAAAUGUAUAGAGCUAAUACUUUUUGUAUUAAACAUUAUGAAUGUUUGAAUUAUCAUAUUAAUGUAAUGUGAUGUAUACCUUCUAAUAUAUUAUUUCCUUAAAAGUAGUGUUAUGAAUUGAAUAUUGUCUUGUUGUAUCCUAGUUGAGAUACAAGAUUUAUAUCACUUAUUGUAAUGUGAUAAACCAAAUUUUAGACUUAUCAAUUAUGGAUAGAUCUCACAUGUAGAUCAUAGAAGGAUAUAAUGAAUCUUUAGAUUUGGUUCCAAUUGUCUACCUAUGAGUUCUAUAUGAAUUGACAAAGGUCAAGAGAUUCCUUUCUUGAAGAAAAGGAAGAUCACAUUAUAAUGAUAUAAGUAAUAAGAAAAACGUUUCUUAUAUGGUUAUCACUUAGAACACAAUAAUCAAGAUCACUCUUGAUUCAAUUAGUAGUUUUGAACAACUAAUUGGGCAUUCUUUAAAUUGUUUUAAAAUGUCAAUUGUGUUAGUGAUUAAACCAAGAAAGAAGUGUCUAAAUCUAUAAAAUGUUUAAAGACUUUAGUCACUUAUUAACGAGACAUUAACUUAGUGAAGAUUGAAACAAACGAGCUUGAAAGGUUUUAAAGCCACUACACAAUGUCUUCUACCCGUAUACUCCACGUUUAUACAUUUUGAAUGUAUGAAGUGAUUUCUCAUUAAAAUCAUGAGAAAUAGUGGGAGGUGUGAAAAUGGAUAUAAACUUGAAUAUGAUUGGUUUAUAGUUGUCAAAAGAAUAAUAGUACUUGACUAUUAUUGAGAGUUUGUGACUUUAAUUGUUAAAAGACUCAAGCUCUUCAAAUGUUAAAAUUCCAUGUUGUGUAACAUUCUAAAGAAUAGUCUAUUAAUGUUGGUUUCGUCAACCUAGCAUAAAAUGGUUAUAUGUUGGGAGUUGUCCAUCAUUCUCUUUUAUGAGAACAAGCUAAUAACAAAGCAUAUGGACAAGUUGAUGAAACAAAAGAUAAUAGUCUUUGAAUGUUGGUUUCGUCAACCUAGCAUAAAAUGGUUAUAUGUUGGGAGUUGUCCAUCAUUCUCUUUUAUGAGAACAAGAUAAUAACAAAGCAUUUGGACAAGUUGAUGAAACAAAAGGGAAUAGUUUCAAAAUGAGUCACAACAUAUGGUUUAACAACAAGACAAUCCAAAUUCAAUAUCUCAUGUAACUAUAACGCUCUAUGUAGUUUUGAUAAUGAAUUAUAUCAACCACCUAGAAGGAAUGGUUGAGUUUCUAUAUCCUUAGUAGGAGUCAUGCUUCCACUAAAGACUUGGAUAAUUCUUAUAUGACUACAUUAAAAGAUCUUAGUAUGACUAAAACUUGAAGUAUGGUGUAUGACACCAUAUAAUUUAAAUGAAUAGACUUGAUAAAGCAAGUUACACAUUUCAAAUGGAAUUACUUGAGAAGGAAUUCUUUUGUGUAUGAUUCGUUUAAAUAACUUGUGUUAGCUAGUGUUGUUGAUAGUCUCAAAAUUGUUGAGACAUCAUCAAUAAGCUAAUGGAUCUCAAUGAUUGUCAAUGGAUCCAAGACAAGUUAGUGGGAGCAGUAUGCAUUCAAAUCAAGAAAAUAUAAUCGUUAAGUUUUUGAAUGAAUGCUAAGUUACAACAAGGCCAGUGGGAGUGAUGUCAUAUUUUGAGCAACAAGAUAUGAAUAAAGUCUAUUUGAUAGACUUGAUAAAACAUAAAUGUUACUCGAAAAAUGACAAAAAAGUGACACGGUCAAUUUUAAAGUUUAGAAUUGGACUUAUUGAUGUAGCAAGGCUAUCUCAAGGAUAUUAUUUGGGAAAUUAAAUCUCAAAUGUUGAAGAUUUAGGAAAGAAUUUUCCUAUAUGAUAGAAAAUCACUUUCGUAACCCUUAUAAUGAUUGUGUCAUAAAAUCACAAAAAGGGACACAUGUAUGGACUUGUAAAGUAGAUACCCAAAAGUGUAGAACCACAGGGCUUGUCACUUUAAGAUAUUACUAUAUCCCAGGAUCAGAACCAAAGCAACUGAUAGAGUAUUAUUGCCUUUAAGAAAGGAACAUCAGAGUGGGACUCUGGAAGCGUGCGUUCACUUAGGUUAUUAACCAAAGUGAAAAAAAUAACCCAUUUUAACAAAUGGAACUUCAUAAUGGAUGAAGUACUAAUCAUAUGAAUGUAUUGUAAGUAUUGUACUACAAUGGUCUCAAGGUUGGAGCAAAAUUUGUAUAAAGUAUACAAACGAAAUAUAUAAUGAUAUAUUGUUUUAGAAACUGCUUCAAAAGGUGUUUUGAAUGGAAAGAGUUCUUUUAGAACCAAUGAUUGAAUCCAAACCAUAAGGUCGUUAGUAGGAUACUACGACGUAAUGGGGCGAUAGCUCAAGCCAUGGAAUCGAGGUCUCAUCAAAGUAUUCGAACACAAGAAAGAGAUAUCAUCAAAUGUUUUGGAAACAUUUGAUAAAUGAAUCCUUUUAAAUAAAAAGGGAUUAAUACAUAACCAAGUUAACCUACGAGCAUAAGCUCUCUCAACUAGCUUGUAUAAGAUACACUAGUGAUUGACUUUAGUGCAAGUGGGAGAUUGUUGGAAAUAUGCCCUGAAAGUCAAUCUUUGGAAGAAACCUUUCAGGACAAAUGAAUGGAUGUAUAGAUGACUAUUAUACAUCAAAUGGCAAAGAUACUAAUUAGGACUAUCUCAAUGAACGAUAUAUGUCCUAAAUAGCGAAUCAAUGGACAAUGGAUCGAUUGAAGAAGUAAUCUAAUGAUGUUAGACUACAGAGACCUUCUUCACAUAACCGUCAUGUCCAAAAGGUUCCUGGUCAUAGGAUUGUCGAAGGGAAACUGACAAUGCAUAGACCGGUACAUACUAUGUCUGCUUCAAUUGGAAGGAUGGAAAGUCUCAUCCCAUUCGUGUAGUGACACUAAGACAAGUAUGUAGGUGCUUAUUAAGGGAAUGAGUUCACUGAACACAAUCGAACGAGAGUACUUGCAUUGAGGUCUACUCACAUGUCAAGCAAGUAACUCUUAUGGUUGGAAUAAUGUAAGUAGUCCUUUGACCUGAAGCAUCGUCGUUGUCUUGUGGUUAAGUACUUGAUCUUUGAUUAUGUUAAAGUCACCCAAUUCGCGGGUGUCCACGGCAUAGUUGGGGUUAAGCCACUUAGUCAUGAAGGCAAGUGAAUGCGCAACAAGGAAUCUCUAAUCUUCGUUAAGAGAGGAAGAAUACUCUAAGAUAUGAUUCGGGAAUCUUCGACCGAAGUAUCGAGCGUAAUAAAGGAAAGCGUUCCUGUACGACUCAAUUGAAUCAUAUAAGAAGGAAUAAUCACAAUAGGGGUUUGACAUAAUAUAUCCAUACCCUAGUGAUGUGAUUGAGAGUAUUGUUUUAGAGAAUGAUUGAAUUACAUUGUAAUUCCAACUGAAUAGGUUCUCCGAACAAAUUCUACAUUAGCUUGGGUAGCCAUAAUAUAUAUGGUUAGAUGUCACUCAUGGCUUGUGAGUUCUUCUAGAUGAUUAAAUGUAGUAGUCAAAGAAGAAGGUGAAUUAAAAGUAAGUUUUAAUUCACUACGUGAUUGGAUUAAAUAUAAUCAAUUGGAUUGAUGCCAAUCACCUCACUGCUUUGCUAAUUAGAACCUAAAAUGAUUGUUCACCAAUACACUCUUGUAGUGAGUAAUUAAUGGAUGAUGGAAAUAAUUAAUUGGAUUAAUUAAGUG
rnacentral:lncRNA from 1 species